rnacentral:rRNA from 1 species
GUGCACCUACGGGACGCAGCAGUGGGGGAUAUUGCACAAUGGAGGAAACUCUGAUGCAGCGACGCCGCGUGAGAGAAGACGGUCUUCGGAUUGUAAACCUCUGUCUUUGGGGAAGAAAAUGACGGUACCCAAAGAGGAAGCUCCGGCUAACUACGUGCCAGCAGCCGCGGUGAUACGUAGGGAGCGAGCGUUGUCCGGAAUUACUGGGUGUAAAGGGAGCGUAGGCGGGCGAGAAAAUUGCAUGUUAAAUCUACAGGCUUAACUGGUAGCUGCGU